rnacentral:misc_RNA from 1 species
GAUGAAGAACGUAGCGAAAUGCGAUACUUGGUGUGAAUUGCAGAAUCCCGUGAACCAUCGAGUCUUUGAACGCAAGUUGCGCCCGAAGCCAUUAGGCCGAGGGCACGCCUGCCUGGGCGUCACACGUCGUUGCCCCCCCAUCUACUCCUUCGGGAUUGCGGGGGGCGGAUGAUGGCCUCUCGUGCGCCUCGUCGCGCGGUUGGCCUAAAUGCCAAGUCCUCGGCGACGAACGCCACGACAAUCGGUGGUUGCGAAACCUCGGUUGCCUGUCGUGUGCGGUCGUCGCGCAUCGAGGGCUCGAAAAAAUUGCCGGGCUUCGGCUCGACUUUCAACGCGACCCCAGGUCAGGCGGGGUUACCCGCUGAAUUUAAGCAUAUCAAUAAGCGGAGGA